GGGCCGAUAGCUCAAUGGCAGAGCAGGGGACUCAUAAUCCCUUGGUUGCAGGUUCGAAUCCUGCUCGGCCCACCA
rnacentral:tRNA from 1 species